AUACCUGCAGCUCAAGUGGUGACCGUUAUUAUUGGGCCUAAAACGUCCGUAGCCGGUUUAGUAAAUGCCUGGGUAAAUCGUGUAGCUUAACUAUACGAAUUCCGGGUAGACUGCUAAGCUUGAGACUGGGAGAGGCUAGAGGUACUCCUGGGGUAGAGGUGAAAUUCUGUAAUCCUGGGGGGACCACCAGUGGCGAAGGCGUCUAGCUAGAACGGAUCUGACGGUGAGGGACGAAGCCCUGGGGCGCAAACCGGAUUAGAGACCCGUGUAGUCC
rnacentral:rRNA from 1 species